GACGAACGCUGGCGGCGUGCUUAACACAUGCAAGUCGAACGGAAAGGCCCUGCUUUUGUGGGGUGCUCGAGUGGCGAACGGGUGAGUAACACGUGAGUAACCUGCCCUUGACUUUGGGAUAACUUCAGGAAACUGGGGCUAAUACCGGGUAGGAGCUCCUGCUGCAUGGUGGGGGUUGGAAAGUUUCGGCGGCUGGGGAUGGACUCGCGGCGUAUCAGCUUGUUGGUGGGGUAGUGGCUUACCAAGGCUUUGACGGGUAGCCGGCCUGAGAGGGUGACCGGCCACAUUGGGACUGAGAUACGGCCCGGACUCCAACGGGAGGCAGCGGGGGGGAAUAGUGCACAACGGGCGGAAGCCUGAUGCAGCAACGCCGCGUGGGGGAUGACGGCCUUCGGGUUGGAAACCGCUUUCGCCUGUGACGAAGCGUGAGUGACGGUAAUGGGUAAAGAAGCACCGGCUAACUACGUG
rnacentral:rRNA from 1 species